rnacentral:antisense_RNA from 1 species
CUAUAUGAUAGGGAGUUGUGGGAGUAUCGCAAGAUACGCCGUUUGCCUUUGGUACGGUACGCCAAUCCUGCAAGUUCUCUAUCACCCUA